CAGCCGCCGCGGUAAUACGUAGGGUGCGAGCGUUAAUCGGAUUUACUGGGCGUAAAGCGUGCGCAGGCGGCCCGUUAAGACAGGUGUGAAAUCCCUGGGCUCAACCUAGGAAUUGCGCUUGUGACUGGCGGGCUCGAGUACGGUAGAGGGGGGUGGAAUUCCUGGUGUAGCAGUGAAAUGCGUAGAGAUCCGGAGGAACACCGAUGGCGAAGGCAGCCCCCUGGGCCUGUACUGACGCUCAUGCACGAAAGCGUGGGGAGCAAACAGGAUUAGAUACCCUGGUAGUCCACGCCCUAAACGAUGGGUACUAGCCGUUUGGUGCGCGAGAGCGCUGAGUGGCGAAGCUAACGCGUGAAGUACCCCGCCUGGGGAGUACGGCCGCAAGGUUGAAACUUAAAGGAAUUGGCGGG
rnacentral:rRNA from 1 species